CAGUCGCCGCGGGAAAACGUAGGUGGCAAGCGUUGUCCGGAAUUAUUGGGCGUAAAGCGCGCGCAGGUGGUUUAAUAAGUCUGAUGUGAAAGCCCACGGCUCAACCGUGGAGGGUCAUUGGAAACGGUUAAACUUGAGUGCAGGAGAGAAAAGUGGAAUUCCUAGUGUAGCGGUGAAACGCGUAGAGAUUAGGAGGAACACCAGUGGCGAAGGCGGCUUUUUGGCCUGUAACUGACACUGAGGCGCGAAAGCGUGGGGAGCAAACAGGAUUAGAUACCCGUGUAGUCCCUGUCUCUUAUAC
rnacentral:rRNA from 1 species